CGAUCCGAUCCUAAUGAUCUAGCGAAUGCAAAGGCAGAGUUUAUACCGUGAAUCGAAGCGCCGAAGACCCUGGCCACGGCAGCGCCCGAGCGUGGCAGCUUUUCCAAGUCUGGCGAGGAAUUGCCUUCGCCCCGUGGUUCCACAUGCCCGAUUUCUCCCGGCACACGGUCCACACCACCGUCAGGUUGUCCGGGAGCGCACCACCGUUGCUAAGCGGGGACGGCGGCGGUAGACGGCUAUGGCAGCUUCAGCGGCUCUCUCAGAUCCGAAGGCGAGCUCACGGGUCGUGUCUACUAGGGCGAGCACGGAGCGGACGGAGCUGGGGAUCGGUGUGGAUUAAUAUGAUGGCUGGGCAUGGACUCCAUGGAGCGGAGGUUGGAAACUAAUUCCCGGCGCAUGCGGGGAGGCCGGUACGGCGGCGUGGUUCCGACCAUUGUGGAGGUGGGAGUCUGGGAGAUGAUCCACAGGUCCCACGGAGUCGUGGGCGCGUGCGAGGAUGACUCAGAGGACCCACACACCAGUGAGCAGUAUGGUAGUGUGCGAAGCUGACAAGUGGGCCCAACCGGUAAGUAU
rnacentral:lncRNA from 7 species